ensembl:lncRNA
AUGAAUACAAUCAAUCGUUUGGAAAUGCAGCUGUCAAUCAAAAAGUCACGCCUCCUGUUCACCUGUUCACUGCGACAACAGACAAAGAAAUCAUUCGAACUAGUGACGAGAGACAUUCAGAUUGUUACGAUGUUUCUUUUAUGUCGGUUUGUAUUUUGUUUCAUUUUGUCACUCAUUUUUGCUGUCAGACCUGUCAAGGGAAACUCAGGAUAUGCUGUUCAGUGGUACUUUGGAUUCAGGAACUAUAGCUCACUGGACUUCCUCCAAUGUCAGGAAACUGAGCUUCCCUUAUGUUCCAAGCUGUGUUUCAGUGAAGGAUGCUUCUCCUCUGAGUAUGUCCCUUCUGGGAAUGAGACGGGCUGCUUGGCAGUGCACAGCAGCAGAGGGCCUUCUGUUCAUGAUGCCACUGUUGCUGCUUUGACUGACAGGGUGCAGAUUGGGAAGCCCCUCCUCCUGGAAGUCUCAGGUUGUUGUCAGCCUUGCCAUAGCAAGCCUUGUGUAAUGUAACUUGAUUUUAAUUUGAUUGGGUUUCUAAUUAAAUGUAUUCAAUUGAAUUGGACAUUAAAGGCG